rnacentral:miRNA from 2 species
UCUUUCCUAUUCCUCCCAUCCC